CUUAGACGAGCGUUGCCGCUCGACCGUCCGUUUGUGGAGUUGGGGGCAGUGUUUCUUGAAUAUGUUAUCGGAUUCUGAUGAAAGUCUUUUUAUCAGAAUCUGGUGAUGUGUGCAAGAAAUAUUGCUUCCGGCUCUACAAAUGGAUGGUUCAGUGGUGGCGCUGUCUGGAUACCACGCAGGAUGACAGUGUUCGAAUUCUGGGUUUGAUAACUCUUGAGAAAGUUCUUUGGGGUGCUGGCCCCGGCUCGGCAACCUUCACCAUCCGCCCCUCCUCCACGUUUGUGGUUGGAACUGCCCUCUUGGUAAUCUCCCUGAUUGGAAAGGGAUUUAAUAAGAAUUAAAAAAAAAAAUGAUUUUCUUUAUCAUCAUGUUAAUAGUAUUGAUCUCACAGAUAAUUCUUAACACGUUUUGUUUUCCCGACAAGUCACAAGAUCCGUUAAUUUCGUUCGAAU
rnacentral:lncRNA from 1 species